CUUUGCUCGUUCCCUGCUACAUAGCUUCACCGACUUUCUUAGCUUGCGUCGAAAAGGAGACUACACUGAAAAAGUACUUGUGUUAGAUGUCUGCGUUAUACAGCGCCCGAUAUGUUCUGAUAGGCACGGUCACUCUGCAGGGAAUGACAAGAUGCUGGAGCGGACGUACCUCGUCCACGUGACGCGUCUCAGUACCUACAACAAACCCCUGUUUCUAGGUCGCCAAGAUGGCUAUUUUGCUGCUGUGGCCGAGGGUUAAGAAGAUUCGGCUUCCCGACACUCCAAGAGGACGUGGA